rnacentral:rRNA from 1 species
UACGUAGGGGGCUAGCGUUAUCCGGAAUUAUUGGGCGUAAAGAGCGCGCAGGUGGUUAAUUAAAUCUGAUGUGAAAGCCCACGGCUUAACCGUGGAGGGUCAUUGGAAACUGGUUGACUUGAGUGCAGAAGAGGGAAGUGGAAUUCCAUGUGUAGCGGUGAAAUGCGUAGAGAUAUGGAGGAACACCAGUGGCGAAGGCGGCUUCCUGGUCUGCAACUGACACUGAGGCGCGAAAGCGUGGGGAGCAAACAGG